CAAGGUUUAGCUCAGUGGUUAGAGUGUUUACCCACAAGCUCAAAGUCUUAGGUUCAAUCCCUAGAACUUCAA
rnacentral:tRNA from 1 species